rfam:Lupinus angustifolius cultivar Tanjil chromosome LG09, whole genome shotgun sequence.
CAAAUGCACCAGGGGUGCCUCUAUCUGCAUGAGCUCCUAUGAUUAAGUUAGGAUGCUAGCAGAUUAGGCUGAGAUAGUCCCUUUGAACCUGAACAGGGUGAUGCCUGCGUAGGGAGUGUGCAAUUUUCUUUCU